rnacentral:rRNA from 1 species
UACGUAGGGGGCGAGCGUUGUCCGGAAUCAUUGGGCGUAAAGCGCGUGUAGGCGGCCCGGUAAGUCCGCUGUGAAAGUCAAAGGCUCAACCUUUGAAAGCCGGUGGAUACUGUGGGGCUAGAGUACGGAAGAGGCGAGUGGAAUUCCUGGUGUAGCGGUGGAAUGCGCAGAUAUCAGGAGGAACACCAAUAGCGAAGGCAGCUCGCUGGGACGUUACUGACACUGAGGCGCGAAAGCGUGGGGAGCGAACAGG